AUUUAUUGAUUCAUUUUUAAAAAUAUUUACUUUUUCUAGUUAUAGUUGGACAAAUACCUGCUGCUGUGGGGUGAAGUGCCAUUUUGCUCAUGGCCUGGGUGAGCUGCCCUAGACUACUCGCCAUCCCAAGUAAAAGAUGGAACUCGCCACAAAUUCUACCUCCAGAGCUGCUUCCCCUACGGCUUAGAGUGAGCCUUCAUUCACAACCCCAAAGAGGACCUGGCGGCCCCUGGCCACACCCAUGUGCUACGCCAGAGCAUCAGCUUCUCUGGCUUGCCCUCUAGCCGCUGAACCUCUCUACCACCACUAGGCCUGGCAGGCCAUUCUCUGUCCUCAUGUUACUUCCCACCCUACAGCUCCUCACCACCACCUUGGGACCUUCCACUUGCACCUUCUGACAUUCUUAAAAUGAGGUGUUUCUACUACAGAACCCUAAAGAAAGAAAUCAAAGAAGACCUUAGAAGCUGGAAAGAUCUACCUUGCUCUUGGAUAGAUAGAAUUAAUAUUAUCAAAAUGACCAUACUACCAAAAGCACUAUAUAGAUUUAAUGCAAUUCUGAUCAAAAUCCCUAUGGUAUUCCUCAUAGAAAGAGAAAAAGCAGUAGUGAAAUUCAUCUGGAAAAAUAAGAGACCCAUAAUAGCUAAAUUAAUCCUUAGUAGGAAGAGUGAAACAAGUGGCAUCACUAUACCAGACCUUAAACUAUAUUACAGAGCAGUAGUAACAAAAACAGCAUGGUAUUGGCACGAAAACAGAGUGGUAGACCAAUGGUACAGAAUAGAGGACACAGAGACUAACCCACAAAAUUACAAUUAUCUUAUAUUAGACAAAGGCGCCAAAAACAUGCAUUGGAGAAAAGACAGCCUCUUCAACAAAUGGUGCUGGGGAAACUAGAAAUCCAUAUGGAACAAAAUGUAAUUAAACUCCUUUCUCUCACCAUGCACAAAACUCAACUCAAAGUAGAUCAAGGACCUAGGAAUUAAACCAGAGGCUCUGCAUCUAAUAGAAGAAAACGUAGGCCCUAAUCAUGUGGGAUUAGGCUCCAACUUCCUUAAUAAGACUCCUAUAGUACAAGAAUUAAAACCAAGAAUCAAUAAAUGGGAUGGAAUCAAACUAAAAAGUUUCUUCUCAGAAAAAGAAACAAUCUUUGAGGUGAACAGAGAGCCUACAUCCUUGGAGCAAAUUUUUACCCCUCACACAUCAGAUAGAGCACUACUCUCUAGGGUAUAUAAAGAACUCAAAAAUCUAAGCACCAAAAAAAAAAAAAAACAAAAACUCAAUCAACAAUUGGGCCAAGGACCUGAAAAGACACUUCUCAGAAGAGGAUACACAAUCAAUCAACAAAUAUAUGAAAAAACGUUCAUCAUCACUAGCAAUUAGAGAAAUGCAAAUCAAAACCACUCUAAGAUAUCAUCUCAUUCCAGUCAGAAUGACAGCUAUUAUGAAGACAAACAACAAUAAGUGUUGGCAAGGAUGUGGGGAGAAAGGUACACUCAUACAUUGCUGGUGGGACUCCAAAUUGGUGCAGCCAAUAUGGAAAGCAGUAUGGAGAUUCCUUGGAAAACUGGGAAUGGAACCACCAUUUGACCCAACUAUCCCUCUCCUCGUUUUAUACCCAAAAGACUUAAAAACAGCAUACUUCAGGGACACAGCCACAUCAAUGUUUAUAGAAGCACAAUUCACAAUAGCUAAACUGUGGAGCCAACCUAGAUGCCUUUCAAUGGAUGAAUGGAUUAAAAAUGUGCAUAUAUACACAAUGGAAUUUUACUCAGCAAUAAAAGAGAAUAAAAUCAUGGCACUUGCAGGUAAAUGGAUGGCAUUGGAGAAGAUAAUGCUAAGUGAAGUUAGCCAAUCCCAAGAAAACAAAUGCCGAAUAUUUUCUCUGAUAUAAGAAGGCUGACUCAUAG
rnacentral:lncRNA from 1 species